CUGCACUGUCUUUGAACCUGGUUGGUCUCGCUGGUGACCUCCGAGGCCAAGCUACAGUGCUAGAGAAAUGUGUGCUUGUUCAUAACUGGGGCUUCCUGGCAACACUCCCAGGUCUCUCUUUUAAAAGCAAGCGACAUCA
ensembl:snoRNA SNORA50A small nucleolar RNA, H/ACA box 50A